rnacentral:rRNA from 1 species
AGUGAACGCUGGCGGUAGGCCUAACACAUGCAAGUCGAACGGCAGCACAGUAAGAGCUUGCUCUUACGGGUGGCGAGUGGCGGACGGGUGAGGCAUACAUCAGAAUCUACUUUUUCGUGGGUGAUAACGUAGGGAAACUUACGCUAAUACCGCAUACGACCUACGGGUUAAAGCAGGGGAUCUUCGGACCUUUCGCGAUUGAAUGAGCCGAUGUCGGAUUAGCUAGUUGGCGGGGUAAAGGCCCACCAAGGCGACGAUCCGUAGCUGGUCUGAGAGGAUGAUCAGCCACACUGGAACUGAGACACGGUCCAGACUCCUACGGGAGGCAGCAGUGGGGAAUAUUGGACAAUGGGCGAAAGCCUGAUCCAGCAAUACCGCGUGGGUGAAGAAGGCCUUCGGGUUGUAAAGCCCUUUUGUUGGGAAAGAAAAGCAGCAGGUUAAUACCCCGCUGUUCUGACGGUACCCAAAGAAUAAGCACCGGCUAACUUCGUG